AGGCUCAGCCCAGCAAUAGGUCUGCUGGCCUGGCCCGCUCAGGCAUCACACACAUCAGGCUGCAUGAGUUCAUUGUGUGCUGCACGUCAUGGAAUUACAUGUAUAUCCAUAAGAGGUUUAUUUCAAGGAUUAUGAGUGCUUGAAGAACAGCUAGUUGUGGCCCCCCCUGAGGGAGCCCUUGUGGUCAGAACACCUGCCCUUCAGGGGUUCAAGAUCAUGUGGGAUGUGCUCACUACUCCAGGUCCAUAAUUCUUAGAGAAUGAACUCCAACACUUAAGCCCUGAACUUAGAUAUUUAGAUGAAUUGUAUGUUUUUAAUCAGUUUGUCAUAUUCCAACUUUGCCCUGAGAGUCAGUUUUUUACUUAGUUUUUAACCCGUCCGCUGCGAUUGGCACGGACUUGGCUUUCACUGGUAGCCUGGUAACGUAUAGUCCCAGGUCUUUCUCUGCCUCUGUGGUGGAUAGUGGAGUGUUUCCCAUGUGGUAUUGGUGUGCUGGAUAUCCCUUCACUGGUAGCCCGGUAACAUACACUACCAGGUCUUUCUCUGCCUCUGUGGUGGAUAGUGGAGUGUUUCCCAUGUGGUAUUGGUGUGCUGGAUAUCCCUUCACUGGUAGCCUGGUAACAUACACUCCCAGGUCUUUCUCUGCCUCUGUGGUGGAUAGUGGAGUGUUUCCCAUGUGGUAUUGGUGUGCUGGAUAUCCCUUCAUUGGUAGCCUGGUAACAUACACUCCCAGGUCUUUCUCUGCCUCUGUGGUGGGUAGUGGAGUGUUUCCCAUGUGGUAUUGGUGUGCUGGAUAUCCCUUCACUGGUAGCCUGGUAACAUACACUCCCAGGUCUUUCUCUGCCUCUGUGGUGGAUAGUGGAGUGUUUCCCAUGUGGUAUUGGUGUGCUGGAUAUCCCUUCACUGGUAGCCUGGUAACAUACACUCCCAGGUCUUUCUCUGCCUCUGUGGUGGAUAGUGGAGUGUUUCCCAUGUGGUAUUGGUGUGCUGUAUAUCCCUUCACUGGUAGCCUGGUAACAUACACUCCCAGGUCUUUCUCUGCCUCUGUGGUGGAUAGUGGAGUGUUUCCCAUGUGGUAUUGGUGUGCUGGAUAUCCCUUCACUGGUAGCCUGGUAACAUACACUCCCAGGUCUUUCUCUGCCUCUGUGGUGGAUAGUGGAGUGUUUCCCAUGUGGUAUUGGUGUGCUGGAUAUCCCCUCCCAAGGUGCAGGACUUUACAUUUUUCUUCAUUGAAUUGUAGCAGCCAAUUCUUGUUCCAUUCCUAUAACUUGGUGAGGUCUUCUUGUAGGAAAUCCACAGUCAAGGGGCUAAGCAGAAUUUUCCAGGCUUUUUUUCCCCGAUGCAAAUAGUUAUAACCUGUGCGGGGUAAUGAAUGUACCCUCCUUACCCCCCUCC